UUAAACCUUCCUGCCAAAUUUUUUCCAGGGCUUAGGUAUCAUUAGGAGAAUCCAUUUAACCAAAAAAAAUUGGGUGUUAUUUUUUUGUUAAUGACAUAUUUUAUCCCUAUAAUGCUCACUCGCGGCGGUGGGUGUGAUCGGGGGUGACGCGGGGCGAGGCGCGCGCGCGGGGGCACGUCACGCGCGAGGCCGACGCGUAGUUUCCGU